rnacentral:tRNA from 1 species
UGGCCGAAUGGUUACGCUGUCCGCUUUGUAAGCGGAUGAUCCUGGGUUCGAUUCCCAN